rnacentral:rRNA from 1 species
UACAGAGGUGGCAAGCGUUGUUCGGAAUUACUGGGCGUAAAGGGCGCGUAGGCGGCCUGCUAAGUCGAACGUGAAAUCCCCGGGCUCAACCCGGGAACUGCGUUCGAUACUGGUUGGCUUGAAUCCGGGAGAGGGAUGCGGAAUUCCAGGUGUAGCGGUGAAAUGCGUAGAUAUCUGGAGGAACACCGGUGGCGAAGGCGGCAUCCUGGACCGGCAUUGACGCUGAGGCGCGAAAGCCAGGGGAGCAAACGGG